CUUUUCCUCUAUUUCGUCGUUGAUGUUCGGCUUCAUUCCUUCGCACGACGUUCUUCGGCUCCUUCGUGGGCUUUGGACUUCACUCCUUCGACGACGUUUCCUUUGGAUCGGAUCAGAAGUUACGACAUUUUGAUCGGAAGCAACGACGGCAGCUCGCUCGCUGUGAAGGUAACUUUCUCCCUUUCGCGUGCUUCUUCGGCCGAAACAUCUCCUAAACCACUUUAUCGCUGGUAUUCACCAUCUCCAAAGUUCUAUCGAUAUCUCAGGUAAUAUAACUCGCCGGUUUUCCAAAUGAUUUCCGCCGUAUGCUGGGUGCCAAAAGGGGCAUCCAAGGUUGUACCUGUGGUUGCAGAGCCUCCAUCGAAAGAGGAAAUCGAGGAGGUCUUGAGGACGGGAGUGUUGGAGCGAAAGGGAGAUAUUGACGAAGAGGAGGAUGAGUGCAUGGAUGUUGAUGACGCUCCUGAGGUGUUGGACGAGGUUUCCAUUGCCCGGGCGGCAACAAAGGCUCUCAAUCAGGUUCAAGCAGGUAGGGAAUCCAGAGAUUUACAAGCGGUUUCUGUUGGCAUUGAGGAGCUCAACAUGGAUGCUUAUGAUGAUGAGGAUGAUGGCAUUGAGUUAUUUGCUAGUGGGAUCGGGGACACUUACUAUCCGAGCAAUGAUAUGGAUCCUUAUCUGCAAAACAAAGGCGAUGAUGAGGAUGAUGAUGAUGAUGAGAUAGAGGACAUGACCAUUAAACCUACUGAUUCUGUUAUAGUUUGUGCUCGCAAUGAGGAUGAAGUCAGUCAUCUGGAGGUUUGGAUUUUUGAGGAUUCAGGAGAUGGAGAUUCAAAUAUGUAUGUGCAUCAUGAUGUCAUCUUACCGGCUUUCCCCCUUUGCACCGCAUGGCUGGAUUGUAACCUUAAAGGUGGUGAUAAAGGUAACUUUCUGGCUGUUGGCUCGUUGGAACCUGCAAUAGAGAUUUGGGAUCUUGAUCUUAUUGAUGAAGUACAGCCAUUUCUUGUACUAGGGGGUGUGUCAAACAAGAAGAAAAAAAACAAAAAGAAAUCAGUUAUCUACAGGAAAGAUAGCCAUAAAGACUCUGUUCUUGGCCUUGCCUGGAACAAGGAGGUGAGGAAUGUCCUAGCUAGUGCAAGUGCGGACAAGUCAGUCAAGAUAUGGGAUGUUGUUACUGGGAAAUGUGUUGCUACUACUGCUCACCAUUCGGACAAGGUCCAGUCAGUUGCAUGGAACCGGUUUUCUCCUGAGCUGCUGCUUAGUGGAUCUUUUGACAGAUCAGUUGUUAUGGUAGAUGGGAGAUCUAUCAAUGAGGUUAGCAAGAAGUGGCCUGUUAUGGCUGAUGUUGAAGGCUUGGCAUGGGAUCCCCAUGCAGAUCACUCUUUUGUGGUUAGUCAAGAAAAUGGCGUGGUUCAAGGUUUUGAUAUUAGGAUAGGAUCAUCAGAUGGUUCCAGUUUUAAACCAGUCUUCACACUCCAUGCACAUGACAAAGCUGUAUCUUCAAUUUCCUAUAAUCCAUGUAGACCCAAUCUUCUUGCUACAGGAUCAACAGAUAAAACGGUGAAGCUAUGGGAUCUAUCUAACAGUCAGCCUUCUUGUGUUGCAUCUACAAAACCUAAAGCUGGAAGCAUUUUUUCCAUAGCUUUCUCAGAGGACAAUCCAUUUUUGUUAGCCGUUGGAGGCCACAAAGGGAAACUGAAAAUAUGGGACGUGACAUCGGAACCAGGGAUAGCUCGAAGCUUUGAAAAGUACAUUAAUAAAGGAGAAGGUCCAGCGACUUCGGCCUAAUCUUGGAAAAGCAGGGCGGAGUCGCUAUUGUAUUGGGCCCUUUAGGAGCUGCUUAGUUUGGCUAGCAGGUUGCAAGUUAUGGUUUGUGAGCAAUGAUGUGGCUAGGGCUCACUUGUCUUAAGCUAUGGCUCGUGGCAACCUUUGGUGUUACGUGCUCUUUUUGGUUGGCUACUCUCUUACUCUAAACUGGAUGGCCCAUACCUGGCUUGGGAUUGGUUGGAAGCCUCUACCAAUUACUGAGCCUGAUAGUUCUCACCCCCCUCUAUUUGUAUCUUUGUAGCU